UACUGCAUGAACCGGUGUUCGUCUCCAGUCAUGUCUUCCUUGUGUGCUGUCGUGGUACUCCACUUCAGUUCACUGGCUGGGCGUUGCUGGAUUCGUUCUGAGAUUAUACGGUUUCGAACUUGAUCAGGAUAAUACCUGCGAAAAGGAUCAUGCUCUGCUCUGUC
rnacentral:ncRNA from 15 species